rnacentral:antisense_RNA from 1 species
GUGGGAGCGAGCUUGCUCGCGAAUGCGGUUAUUCAUUCAGCAUUGAUGUUGGCUGACAUGACGCCUUCGCGAGCAAGCUCGCUCCCAC